GAUUUAUUGGGCGUAAAGCGAGCGCAGGCGGUUUUUUAAGUCUGAUGUGAAAGCCUUCGGCUCAACCGAAGAAGUGCAUCGGAAACUGGGAAACUUGAGUGCAGAAGAGGACAGUGGAACUCCAUGUGUAGCGGUGAAAUGCGUAGAUAUAUGGAAGAACACCAGUGGCGAAGGCGGCUGUCUGGUCUGUAACUGACGCUGAGGCUCGAAAGUAUGGGUAGCAAACAGGAUUAGAUACCCUGGUAGUCCAUACCGUAAACGAUGAAUGCUAAGUGUUGGAGGGUUUCCGCCCUUCAGUGCUGCAGCUAACGCAUUAAGCAUUCCGCCUGGGGAGUACGGCCGCAAGGCUGAAACUCAAAGGAAUUGACGGGGGCCCGCACAAGCGGUGGAGCAUGUGGUUUAAUUCGAAGCUACGCGAAGAACCUUACCAGGUCUUGACAUACUAUGCAAAUCUAAGAGAUUAGACGUUCCCUUCGGGGACAUGGAUACAGGUGGUGCAUGGUUGUCGUCAGCUCGUGUCGUGAGAUGUUGGGUUAAGUCCCGCAACGAGCGCAACCCUUAUUAUCAGUUGCCAGCAUUAAGUUGGGCACUCUGGUGAGACUGCCGGUGACAAACCGGAGGAAGGUGGGGAUGACGUCAAAUCAUCAUGCCCCUUAUGACCUGGGCUACACACGUGCUACAAUGGAUGGUACAACGAGUUGCGAACUCGCGAGAGUAAGCUAAUCUCUUAAAGCCAUUCUCAGUUCGGAUUGUAGGCUGCAACUCGCCUACAUGAAGUCGGAAUCGCUAGUAAUCGCGGAUCAGCAUGCCGCGGUGAAUACGUUCCCGGGCCUUGUACACACCGCCCGUCACACCAUGAGAGUUUGUAACACCCAAAGUCGGU
rnacentral:rRNA from 2 species